UCUACGGGAGGCUGCAGUGAGGAAUAUUGGUCAAUGGGCGGGAGCCUGAACCAGCCAAGUCGCGUGAGGGAUGACGGUCCUACGGAUUGUAAACCUCUUUUGCCGGGGAGCAAGUGUGCGUUCGUGAACGCGCGUCGAGAGUACCCGGAGAAAAAGCAUCGGCUAACUCCGUACCAGCAGCCGCGGUAAUACGGAGGCUGCGAGCGUUUUCCGGUUUUAUUGGGUUUAAAGGGUGCGUAGGCGGUCCGUUAAGUCAGCGGUAAAAUUGCGGGGCUCAACCCCGUCGAGCCGUUGAAACUGGCAGACUUGAGUUGGCGAGAAGUACGCGGAAUGCGCGGUGUAGAGGUGAAAUGCAUAGAUACCGCGCAGAACUCCGAUUGCGAAGGCAGCAUACCGGCGCGCAACCGACGCUCAUGCACGAAAGCGUGGGUAUCGAACAGGAUUAGAUACCCCUGUAGUC
rnacentral:rRNA from 1 species